GACGAACGCUGGCGGCGGGCUUAACACAUGCAAGUCGAACGGAAAGGCCCUGCUUUUGUGGGGUGCUCGAGUGGCGAACGGGUGAGUAACACGGGAGUAACCUUCCCUUGACUUUGGGAUAACUUCAGGAAACUGGGGCUAAUACCGGAUAGGAGCUCCUGCUGCAUGGUGGGGGUUGGAAAGUUUCGGCGGUUGGGGAUGGACUCGCGGCUUAUCAGCUUGUGGGUGGGGGAGUGGCUUACCAAGGCUUUGACGGGUAGCCGGCCUGAGAGGGUGACAGGCCACCUUGGGACUGAGAUACGGCACCGACUCCUACGGGAGGCAGCAGUGGGGAAUAUUGCACAAUGGGCGGAAGCCUGAUGAAGAAACGCCGCGUGCGGGAUGACGGCCUUCGGGUUGUAAACCGCUUUCGCCUGUGACGAAGCGUGAGUGACGGUAAUGGGUAAAGAAGCACCGGCUAAAUACGUG
rnacentral:rRNA from 1 species